CGGCCUUGCUUAAUUUUGUUGGGCGAGGCCGGGGCAGACCAACGCUGAAUUGGUCUUACUUGCCAAAAAAAAAAAAAACCGCUGAAUUGGUCUUGGUCCUACUACACCCUCAAUCCUCAUCCCAAAUUUAACCGGCCCAAAACAAAUCUGGCCCGAAACAGAUCCUAAAGAACAGUCUCCCCCCAAUUUCCUGCGCGGUAGCGACCACGGCGCCAGCCGAGCCAAGUAGCCAACAGCUCCACGACCACGAGAUUUCGGUUUUCGGUACCAGAUUACCAGCAACUCCGCGACCGCGAGGCAACGCGGCGGCCGGUGCUAAAACCUGAGCCUUGGUGGAGGAUACCGAGUCGAUGGCCUGGGCGUGCGCGCCACCCGUUCGGCCAAAUGCCCACGAGAAACCUCUCAUUUACGCGGCAAGUAAAAGUAGAGGGGAACUGGUGGCCGGGUCUACUUCAUUGGGCACGCACAACUUCAGUGCAUGGAACUAUGGACAAAACUGAAGCUAAGUUAGACUUGCAGUCUUAGAGAGUUACACAUGAAACAUGAAGAUCAGAACUGCUCCUACGUUACACAAAAGCAAUGCUAGCAGAUGGAGGUAGAAGCUCCAAAAGGUGAAUUAGGUACUACUGUCUGCUGCACUAUAAAGCCAAAGCCUACAUUAGUACAGAAUACAAACUAAGUAUAGCACUUAGUCGACUGGUAAUUUGUUGAGACCUCGGUUGUGCAAGGGAGAGAGUCCCAAGGCAAGGUCAUCCUCCAGUCAUCUGGCAGUGCUCCUUGCAGGUUGAAUGGGAAGUUGAUUGAUCGUGGAGCGGCGGUGACACU